CAGUAGCCACGGGAAUACGAGGGGGGCAAGCGUUGUUCGGAAUUAUUGGGCGUAAAGGGCGCGUAGGCGGUUUGGCAAGUUUGGUGUGAAAUCUUCGGGCUCAACUCGAAGUCUGCACCGAAAACUGCCGGGCUUGAGUAUGGGAGAGGUGAGUGGAAUUUCCGGUGUAGCGGUGAAAUGCGUAGAUAUCGGAAGGAACACCUGUGGCGAAAGCGGCUCACUGGACCAUUACUGACGCUGAGGCGCGAAAGCUAGGGGAGCAAACAGGAUUAGAUACCCGUGUAGUCCCUGUCUCUUAUAA
rnacentral:rRNA from 1 species